AUUGAACGCUGGCGGCAUGCCUUACACAUGCAAGUCGAACGGCAGCACGGGAGCAAUCCUGGUGGCGAGUGGCGAACGGGUGAGUAAUACAUCGGAACGUGCCCAGUAGUGGGGGAUAACCCGGCGAAAGCCGGACUAAUACCGCAUACGACCUACGGGUGAAAGCAGGGGAGUCGCAAGACCUUGCGCUAUCGGAGCGGCCGAUGUCAGAUUAGGUAGUUGGUGGGGUAAAGGCCUACCAAGCCUACGAUCUGUAGCUGGUCUGAGAGGACGACCAGCCACACUGGGACUGAGACACGGCCCAGACUCCUACGGGAGGCAGCAGUGGGGAAUUUUGGACAAUGGGCGCAAGCCUGAUCCAGCCAUGCCGCGUGCGGGAAGAAGGCCU
rnacentral:rRNA from 1 species